AUGCAAGUCGAGGGGCAGCAUGAUUUGUGCUUGCACAGAUUGAUGGCGACCGGCGCACGGGUGAGUAACGCGUAUCCAACCUGGCCCUUAGUAGGGAAUAGCCCGGCGAAAGUCGGAUUAAUGCCCUAUGUUCUCCUUUGAGGGCAUCUGACGAGGAGCAAAGAUUUAUCGCUAAGGGAUGGGGAUGCGUCUGAUUAGCUUGUCGGCGGGGUAACGGCCCACCGAGGCGACGAUCAGUAGGGGUUCUGAGAGGAAGGUCCCCCACACUGGUACUGAGACACGGACCAGACUCCUACGGGAGGCAGCAGUGAGGAAUAUUGGUCAAUGGGCGUAAGCCUGAACCAGCCAAGUAGCGUGCAGGAUGACUGCCCUAUGGGUUGUAAACUGCUUUUAUGCGGGAAUAAAGUGCACUACGCGUAGUGUUUUGUAUGUACCGCAUGAAUAAGGACCGGCUAAUUCCGUGCCAGCAGCCGCGGUAAUACGGAAGGUCCGGGC
rnacentral:rRNA from 1 species